rnacentral:rRNA from 1 species
GUGAACGCUGGCGGUAGGCCUAACACAUGCAAGUCGAACGGCAGCACAGUAAGCGCUUGCUCUUACGGGUGGCGAGUGGCGGACGGGUGAGGAAUACAUCGGAAUCUACUUUUUCGUGGGGGAUAACGUAGGGAAACUUACGCUAAUACCGCAUACGACCUACGGGUGAAAGCAGGGGAUCUUCGGACCUUGCGCGAUUGAAUGAGCCGAUGUCGGAUUAGCUAGUUGGCGGGGUAAAGGCCCACCAAGGCGACGAUCCGUAGCUGGUCUGAGAGGAUGAUCAGCCACACUGGAACUGAGACACGGUCCAGACUCCUACGGGAGGCAGCAGUGGGGAAUAUUGGACAAUGGGCGCAAGCCUGAUCCAGCCAUACCGCGUGGGUGAAGAAGGCCUGCGGGUUGUAAAGCCCUUUUGUUGGGAAAGAAAAGCAGCAGGUUAAUACCCCGCUGUUCUGACGGUACCCAAAGAAUAAGCACCGGCUAACUUCGU